CAGAGCCAGAUUAAGGAGUGGCCAGUGGACAGCAAUUGCCCAAAGUGCCACUCAACAUAGGUCACUGCAAUGAGCACUGUUGUGCUCCACCCAGCUCCCCUUGGCUCCCUCUCCUGGUUGCUGUGUGCCCAAGCCCCGGGGCUGUGGCUUGAAUGUGUGACCCUUCCAAACCUCUUGUUGAAAUUUGAUCCCAAUGUUGGAGGUGGGACAUAAUGGGAAGUGUUUGGGUCUUGGGGGUGGAGCCCUCAGGAGUAGAUAAUGCCCUCCCUUGGAGCAGAGCAAGUAAGUUCUUGCUCUGUUAGUUCCUGAGAGAGCUGGUUGUUAAAGGAGCCUGGUACCUCCUCCCCUCUCUUGCUUCCUCCCUGCACACGCUGGUUCCCCUUCACCUUCUGCCAUGAGUGGAAGCCACCUGAGCCCUCCCCAGAAGGUGCUGGUGCUUCUUGUACAGCCUGCAGAACUGUGAGCCAAGUAAACCUUUUUAUAAAUUACCCAGCCUCUGGUAUUCCUUUAUAGCAACGCAACAAUGAAUGAAGACACCUAGCAUCCUUGUGCUUUGCUUCUGAUGGCCAGCACCUGUGUCCCAGCUGCCCUUGGGAUCAAGCAGAAAAUGCUUUUACCACCUGGCUUGGGUGCCUACCUUUCCUGCUGUGCUGUUCCUGCCUGUUGAUCAGUUUCUCCAGGAGAACUGCCUGAAGAAAUUGCUUGCACGAAAAUUCUGGUCUCAAAGUCUGCUUCUGAGGAGGCUGAUCUCCAACACCCACUAACACAGUCCUAGAAAUGUAAUGGGCAAGAGAAAAGCAACAUUUAUCCACCUGAUCAUGGCUCAGAGAGAUGACUCCAUGUGGCUGGAGAGAAUCCUUGGAUAUUGACUUUGGUGCAAGGGGUGAGCCCUUCCCACUCCAUUAAAUUGACCAAAGUGCCCUCCUAAGGAAUGCAAGUCCAGUCACCUGUGGGCUUUUUGGUUUCCUGGUCAAAAUACGUAAAUUGAGGGCUUGAGUGGAACUGCUUGGGACAAAAGUGUGGAGUUUGAGCCUUGGCUGGAGGGGAAGGCAGGAGGAGAGCUGAGCGUGGCACUCGGCUUCUCCUCUAGAUAGAUACCGAAUAGCAUUAAAUGUUAUGAAAAUGGCAGCUUUCUCAAAGUACCCACUGCCUCCAACUGACCCUGCUUCCUAGUGAAAAUGAGGAGGGAUUUUUGCUGGGCCUGCUGAAGAGGAACUAGGAAAGGAAUAGGCUGCCAGGAUUGGGGGUGACAGAUUUAAGGCCCUGUGUGUGGCACUGAGGUGUCCUUGAAGGAGGGGAGAGGCUGCAGGGCAGGAUGUUCCGGAUUCCUUUCCUGGUGGCCUGGGGGAUAACUGGACGGUGGAACCAGAGCUGUCUCUCCAUGGAUGGAGCAGGACAAGUCACACCUGAGGCCUCGGGCAGGCCAUGACCAUUCACCUGGCAGCCUGAGAAGCUUAAAGCUUCCAAAUCAGGAGCCAGCCCCUCCGCACCAGCCACUGCCAACUCUGUCUUCUAAACCUGCGCUCUGGUGGAACUUCUGCAUCAUGAGCAAACCCACAGGCCACAUUACCUUUGACGAGUGGGUCUAACAGUUAUGCUGAAGACGUGGCUGAGCAAAUUGUGCCGCGGAGAACAAUGACCAGGUUUCUGACCCCUCCAUCUGUGUGGAUGCCAAUUCUCAAGACUAGGUGUUGGCUUGCUCCAAGGGGACGUGACAAGCUGUGGACGUCCACCUGGGCUGCAGGUACACAGAAGGAGCCAGGCCUGCCCCUGUCCUGCCCUGCCGGGCUUCUCGUAUAUUGGAGAGUCCUGAAUGUACCCUGACAGCUGCAAGAAGGCAGGCUCUGAGACCUGCUCGGUGGCAAAGAGGCAGAAAGAAAGUGCUGGUGGGGUGAAGGUGAGGAUGAGAGCCACUCCUGCCAAGCAGAUCGCUGGGCGAGGGGCCUGCCGCGGGGACUCAGAGGAUGGGGAGGCAGAAUGGUAGCAUGUGUUUCGGUAGUGGUGGUAAUUACAAUACUCACAUCAGAGGGCUGUUGUGAACAUUAAGUGAGAUAAUUCAUGCCAGGUGUUUGGAAGAGUAGCUGGCCCAGAAAAAAGGCAUAUUGUGUUAUUAUAGAUGCACGUACACACACACAGAAUUUUACAGACCACUUUAAUUAUUUAGUUACUGUAAAUAAUUAUUUAUUAUAAUUAAUACACUAUUAGAUAAUAUAUUAUACAAAAUAUAUAAAAUGUAUUACAUUAAUAUAUUAUAUGUAAUUAUAAUUGUAUGUAUGAUAACUACCAUGCUCGGGCUGGUCUCAAAUUCCUGGACUCAAGCAAUCUUCCCACCUUUGCCUCCCAAAAUGCUGGGAUUACAGGCAUGAGCCACUGCACCCGGCCUUAUAAUUUAUUAUUUAUUAUGAAAUACACAUCCAAUAUUAUUAACCUUUAUAUAUUAUGUAUUAAGUUAACAGACAAGUAUUUUAAAUUUGUCAAAUUGAAUAUUACCAUGUAUCAAUAUGUUCUGUAGCAUGUAUAAUACAUAGUACACAUUAUUAUGAGCAAGGGGCUUGUGAGAUGGGAGUGUUCCAGAUUUGUGGAGGCAAGAAGAGCAGUCAGUCCGCUGUGUGCACAGGGACCUGGAGUGGAGAGAAGGGUGCAGAGGAAGCUCAGGAUGCCGUUGGCCGGGACUUAGCGGAGUUGGAGCUGCGUUCUGUAGACCACGGGCCACUUUCCUUCACUCAGGCAGGAGCAGGUGCUGAGUGCUUCCUAGGAGCCAGCGCUGUGCUAGAUACAGGAGAGGAGGCAGGGAUGACAGAGGAGGCCCCGUCCUAGUGGAGGUCUCAAUCCACAAGGAGGCAGGCAUUGCAGGGGUCUCACCCUGGGAUGAGCAUUACAGAAGGCAAGUGAGGGCCCCCCAGCACAAGGCAAGGUGGGGCCGUGGCCUGAGGCAAGAGAGGAGUCCCAUCAUCAUCAAGCUGAGGCUCUAAAAGAAGGAGUUAGGCAGGUUAAAGGUAUGGCAUGGCUCUUGCACAAGAAAGACUGACACCCAAAGAUGGCUCAAGGGAAGGUCAGGGGGAAGGCAGUGUUCACUGGGCGAACUGGACAAUGACCUCAGCUUGGACCUGGGUAGCAGAGAGCGAGAGGGAGCAGGCUGGGGAGAGGCUGGGGUGGAGGCACCAGGGAGCCACAUCCAGAUGCACAAAGAGAGAGCACAGCAAGAAGCUGGGGCUGCAGACCAGAGGGCUGGGUGUCGGCCUCUCGCUGGUGAUGAGACAGGCGGCUUCUGCGAAGGGCCAGGGAUGAUGGAGGGGAAUUGGAUCCUGGAGCAGGAAAGUAGGGCAUGGUUAGGGGCUGAUGGAGACCUGCAGUCGCAUGGAAGGAAGGCAGAGUCUCAGGGCAAGGGGUGCCCAGCGAGCCUGACGCUGGGGGUGCAAGGAAGCCAAGCAUCGGAGGUGACUCCAAGUUCUGGACACAGGGACGGGGAAAAAAGUGUCAUUAUCGAAGAUGGGGUAUACAUCUUGGGAAAAGGCUGACUUCUAUGUAUGUAUGUAUGUAUGUAUGUAUGUAUGUAUGUAUAUAUAUUUGAGAUGGAGUCUUGCUCUGUCGCCAGGCUGGAGUGCAGUGGCACAAUCUCGGCUUAAUGCAACCUCCACCUUCCGGGUACAAGCGAUUCUCCUGCCUCAGCCUCCCAAGUAGCUGGGACUACAGGCGCACACAUCACGCACGCCCAGCUAAUUUUUGUAUUUUUAGUAGAGAUGGGGUUUUACCAUGUGGGCCAGGAUGGUCUCGAUCUCCCGACCUCAUGAUCCUCCCAUUUUGGCCUCCCAAAGCUCUGGGAUUACAGGUGUGAGCUACUGUGCCCGGCCCACUUAGUUAUUUUAAGAUAGGGUCUUGCUCUGUUGUCCGAGCUGGAGUGCAAUGGUGCUAUCAUAGCUCACUGCAACCUCGACCUUCUAGGCUCAAGUGAUCCUCCUGCCUCAGCCUCCUGAGUAGCUAGGACUCCAGGUGUGUGAAAUCAUACCCAGAUAAUUUUUAAAUUUUUAGUAGAGAUGGGUCUCACUAUAUUACCCCAGCUAGUCUGCAACUCCUGACCUCAAGUGGUCCUCCCACCUUGGUUUCCCAAAGUGCUGGGAUUACAGGUGUGAGCCACUGUGCCAGACUUUUACUUUUAAUAUUUGCAAUGUUAGCAUCUGAAAGCUGACUAAGCUUGUUUUCCUAGUGUGAAAUUCAGGAUUUAUAAAUUCAAAUAGACUUAUGAAACAAAUAUAUGAUGUAUAGAAUUUGUCACUGCUAACUUCUAACUGAAUAAAUCAUUGGCUUCCUUGGUAAUUGUCUGUAAUUAGCAAGAUUAUAAAUCUAAAUAAUGUGGAAGUUCCCCCUCACCACACACACACACACACACACGUGUGCACCUGUGCAUAGUGUCUAGAAUUUGUUACCAAGUUGUAAUAUUCAGACUGCUGAGAAUUAUGGCAGGAUUAAACAAUGCUGAGAAGGCACAGGGAGUCUGCUCUGACCUGUAUAGAUGUUUGAUCAAUUAGAGCUCUGUCAGAUGGAAGGGCGGAUCCCAGAGGAGGGGAGCUCUCUCUCCUGGUCUGUUCAAGGUUUGACAGUGGAGAUUGGGACACAGGCUGCAUAAAUGAGCAGACUGCCACUAAGGUGACUCAGCUUUGAGGUCACAGUCCUGUGAUUUCCCAGCUUUAAAGUCAGUGCCUCGGACUCCCUAUCAUCUUCCCUGCUCCCCAUGAUCUCCCCCGCUCCCCAUCGUCUCCCCCCAGUCUCCAUCAUCUCCCCCGCUCCCUAUCAUCUUCCCUGCUCCCUAUCAUCUCCCCCACUCUCCAUCAUCUCCUCUGCUCCCCAUCAUCUCCCCCGCUCCCCAUCAUCUCCCCCGCUCUCAUCUCCCCACUCCCCAUCAUCUCCCCAACUCUUCAUCAUCUCCCCACUCCCCAUCAUCUACCCACUCUCCAUCAUCUCCCCCCUCCCCAUCAUCUCCCCGGCUCCCCAUCAUCUCCUUGGCUCCCCGUCAUCUCCCCCACUCCCCAUCAUCUCCCCCACUCUCCAUCAUCUUCCCGCUCCCCAUCAUCUCCCCCACUCCCCAUCAUCUCCCCUGCUCCCCAUCAUCUCCCCUGCUCUCAUCUCCCCACUCCCCAUCAUCUCCCCCACUCUUCGUCAUCUCCCCACUCCCCAUCAUCUCCCCACUCUCCAUCAUCUCCCCCCUCCCCAUCAUCUCCCCGGCUCCCCGUCAUCUCCCUGGCUCCCCGUCAUCUCCCCCACUCCCCAUCAUCUCCCCCACUCUCCAUCAUCUCCCCCACUCUCCAUCAUCUCCCCCACUCUCCAUCAUCUCCCCACUCCCCAUCAUCUCCCCCACUCUCCAUCAUCUCCCCCGCUCCCCAUCAUCUCCCCCGCUCCCCAACAUCUCCCCCACUCCCCAUCAUCAGCCCCACUCUCCAUCACCUCCCCUGCUCCCCAACAUCUCCCCCCCUCCCCAUCAUCUCCCCCGCUCUUCAUCAUCUCCCCACUCCCCAUCAUCUCCCCACUCUCCAUCAUCUCCCCCCUCCCCAUCAUCUCCCCGGCUCCCCGUCAUCUCCCCCACUCCCCAUCAUCAGCCCCACUCUCCAUCACCUCCCCCGCUCCCCAACAUCUCCCCCACUCCCCAUCAUCUCCCCCACUCUCCAUCAUCUCCUUCCGCUCUCUCAACCACCUCUCUGCAGUGGUUCACUGCAGGCCAGCGGAGUGGAAUUCAUGGAUGCUGAGGGAGCAAGUGUGUCUGCAGAGAUUUCCUUGAGGUCAAAAUACAUGCUUUUAGGAGAAGUCACGUUGCUUUUGCAACCCAGUGUUUCACAAUGCCACAUUGCUCAUUACCUUUUCAAAAUCUCCCUGUAUGAAGCUGUUAUUUUUUUUUUCUGUCCUCUGCCACUGAGCUGUCAUAGAAAGGCAUUAUGAGAGCUAAUCCCUGUAAUCCCCAGGGAAUUGUCCGUUAUGAAGCUCCGUCCAGGUCUAUCUUGCUGUCUUUCCCUGGCUUACCCAGAGCACCUGCCUUGGUGUAAUCCUCCAUCGCUGCCACAUGGAAGUGUUUUUUCCCUUCCUAAACAAGUUCCUCUUCUGGUAUGGCUGUCAGUGGACCCUGACACAGCCUUUUGGAGCAAAGCACUUGACGGUGUCCAGAAUUCACAUGGUAGCACACAGGUUGCACUUCCAGGAGGCAAGGAGGUAGCUCUUGACCAGAACCCUGGAACUCUGCUCUCCCAGGUGACCUUGGGGAGCCAUAGCCCAUCUCGGGCAUCCCUGUCUCCUCUUUAGAGAGAGAAAUUGAACACAGUGAUCUCUGAGGUCUAAGCAGCUCUAAACCUCUGUCUUGGACAGCUAGGACAGAAUUUAAAUGAGCAUUUAUUGUUUUUCACCCACCUAGUUCUUCUAGUUAGGUUACAGAAUAAGGCAAUUAAGCCAAACCUGGACCCGGGCAGUGCCAGCCUGGGGCUGCAGCUGUCUUUAGUGUGUAGCCUGGCUCUAGACCUGGCCCCCGAGCAGCUGCUUCUUGACACUUCCAAAGGACAGCGCUGUUCUGUGCCCCUCCCAAAGGUGGUCCUGCAGGACCCCAAGCCUAUGUGAAUUUCUCUCCAUAACUCGCAGGGUGGCAGGGCACAGCACAGGACCCACACGCCACCUGGGGAAGAGGAAAUAGGAAACUGACCACGGCAAAAAUGAACAAGAGCCAAGGAUACACCAAGCUGCAUUUCCAGCCAGAGGGAACGUUUGGCCUGGGAUGGGCUCUGUGGAUGAGUCAGCACGGGAGCGGCAAACGCGGCCUGGCAGGCCCUGGGCCUGUUAUGGAGAAUGUUGAAUGCCCUGGGGCGCAAAUGAGAGAGAAGGAUGGGGAAGAGAGAGAGGCUUGCACACCAGACAGAGGCAGAGAAAGAGGCAAGAGGCAUAUGGCCCUGAUUUUCCCUGCCAAGAGCCUGAUAGUAAGAGCUAAGGCCAGUCUUCAGGUGUGCACGUUGUUUUUUCACUAAACCCUGAGUCACUGCUGCUGCCCUCCAAUACGCUGGAGGUGAUCGGGCAUGGGAGGAGCAGGGAGGAUGGGGAGGUGCAAAGCUGAUGGGCUAUGGACCCUUCAGCACACCCGCACACAGCUGUCAGCAGCAGCACUCAUUCCUUUCUGAGCCAGGCUGCGUUCAUCAGCAACCACUGUGUCCUUUGCAGGGAAAGGAGCUGAGCCCAGGGAGCUGGCAGAUGCUCUCCUCAGAUUUUCACCAGCAGAUCCCGUUGUCUAAGGACAAAAUUACUAUUUUGCCAGAGUAUACGGCUUUAAAGCAGAGGGCUUUAAAUACAUUCCAGACAGAAAGAAGGAAUUCAUUUUCCCCUUCAGUACAGGAUCAGCUCAUCUGAGGACAAGUGUGCCCUCUCCUCCUCAGCUAUGUCUGGAAUUAAUCUCCCAGAGUUAGACUGUUUGGUGCAAAAGAGAAAUGAAAAAAUGCAGUCCUAGGAUGUUUAACUCAACAGGUGCGAGAUUCUGAAGGGGUCUGGACAUGUCUGCUCUGUGUAAUUAGCAAGAAAAUAGUCCAGUUUAGCAAGCAUUUAUUAAACAGAAACUGUGUGCCAGGCCAAUUGCUGGAGCUUUCAAACUCACUAAGACUGACAUGAUCAUAUGCUUUCUGAUGAUUUUGGUGGUUUUCAGAAAGAAAGUGAAUGUUGUAAUUGCUUCGUUGAGCAACUGCUUAAAUAGUCACUAUAGCCUCUAAAAGAAUAAAAAUCAUUACAUUUAAAUUUUAUUUAUUUUGUAAAAGACCAAAAAUAAACCGAAGCUGUUGAGCCUUAAGUGAAUGUUUCUUUACCACAAAGGAUAUUAUUUCUCUAAGGGUAAGGAAAGAGAUUGCAGAUAACAUGAACAGGUUGGGAUUUUAUAUAUGCAUGCAUGCACAUACACAUACAAUAUGCAUCUCAAUUUUAGAACAAAGCAAUUGUCUCUUUCCAAAGAAAGAAGAGGAUACUGGCAUUCUCAUGUGGCUUUCAUUUCCCCUCCUCUUCGUCUCAAUUUUAGUAAGUUAUGUUAGAGUUGGUUGGACUGAAUCCCCCAAAAAGGUUUUCUCAAAUUCUAGUCCCGAGACCUGUGAAUGUGGUCUUAUUUGGAAAAUAGGGUCUUUGCAGAAGUCCUUGAGUUAAGAUGAGGUCAGGCUGGAUUGAGGUGAGACCUAAAUUAGUGACUGAUGUUCUCAUAAGAGCAAAGUUUGAACACAGAUACACAGAGGAAAGAAAGCCACAUGAAGACAAAGGGAUGUUGGAGUGAUGCAGCUACAAGCCAAGGAAUGCCAAGCAUUGCCAGCAACUGCUGGAAGCUGGGAGAGAGACCUGGAACAGAUUCUUCCUUGGAGCCUCCAGAAGGAACCAACUCAGCCGACACCUUGAUCUGCC
rnacentral:lncRNA from 1 species